GACGCCGAAUACCGGUCGGUCCGCGGCUUGCCGAGGGUCUCCUUGAGCUUUUCGAUCACAUGCGGAGGGGUCGGAAGAUCCGGAUUUCCCAUGCCGAGGUCGAUGAUAUCGGCCCCGGCGUUCCGCGCGGCCGCCUUGGCCCGGUUGACUUGCUCGAACACGUAAGGCGGCAGACGGCGGAUACGGUAAAACUCUUCCAUGGGUUGGGCU
rnacentral:misc_RNA from 1 species